CAAUAAGCGGAGGAAAAGAAACCAACAGGGAUUGCCCCAGUAACGGCGAAGUGAAGCGGCAAAAGCUCAAAUUUGAAAUCUGGCUCCUUCGGGGUCCGAGUUGUAAUUUGUAGAGGAUGCUUCGGGUGUGGCCACGACCUAAGUUCCUUGGAACAGGACGUCAUAGAGGGUGAGAAUCCCGUCUUGGGCCGUUGGUCCACGCCCGUGUGAAGCUCCUUCGACGAGUCGAGUUGUUUGGGAAUGCAGCUCUAAGCGGGUGGUAAAUUUCAUCUAAAGCUAAAUAUUGGCCGGAGACCGAUAGCGCACAAGUAGAGUGAUCGAAAGGUUAAAAGCACCUUGAAAAGGGAGUUAAACAGCACGUGAAAUUGUUGAAAGGGAAGCGCUUGCGGCCAGACUCGAGCGCAGGGUUCAGCGGGUGCGUGUCACCCGUGCACUCCCUGUCGCCCGGGCCAGCAUCAGUUCUAACGGCCGGUCAAAGGCCCCCGGAAUGUGUCGUCUCUCGGGACGUCUUAUAGCCGGGGGUGCAAUGCGGCCCGUCGGGACUGAGGAACGCGCUUCGGCUCGGAUGCUGGCAUAAUGGCCGUAAGCGGCCCGUCUUGAAACACGGACCAAGGAGUCUAACAUCCACGCGAGUGUUCGGGUGUCAAACCCGUGCGCGCAGUGAAAGCGAACGGAGGUGGGAGCCUUAGGGCGCACCAUCGACCGAUCCUGAAGUCUUCGGAUGGAUUUGAGUAGGAGCGUGGCCGUUGGGACCCGAAAGAUGGUGAACUAUGCCUGAAUAGGGUGAAGCCAGAGGAAACUCUGGUGGAGGCUCGCAGCGGUUCUGACGUGCAAAUCGAUUCGUCAAAUUUGGGCAUAGGGGGCGAAAGACUAAUCGAACCAUCUAGUAGCUGGUCCUGC
rnacentral:rRNA from 1 species